AUUGAACGCUGGCGGCAUGCCUUACACAUGCAAGUCGAACGGCAGCACGGGAGCAAUCCUGGUGGCGAGUGGCGAACGGGUGAGUAAUAUAUCGGAACGUGCCCAGUCGUGGGGAUAACGUAGCGAAAGCUACGCUAAUACCGCAUACGAUCUAUGGAUGAAAGCGGGGGAUCGCAAGACCUCGCGCGAUUGGAGCGGCCGAUAUCAGAUUAGGUAGUUGGUGAGGUAAAGGCUCACCAGGCCGACGAUCUGUAGCUGGUCUGAGAGGACGACCAGCCACACUGGGACUGAGACACGGCCCAGACUCCUACGGGAGGCAGCAGUGGGGAAUUUUGGACAAUGGGCGCAAGCCUGAUCCAGCAAUGCCGCGUGCAGGAUGAAGGCC
rnacentral:rRNA from 1 species